CUCGAGCGCGUCCUGCGAUCCGUCCGUGUUGCCUGCCCCAACGCUUUCUAUGUGUGCACUGCCGGGAAGAUGCUCUACCACGAGAAGGAUGAACACGAGAAGACGUGCCCCAUCAGCAUAACUGACUCCGGCAUCCUCCCACGAGGGAUUGUGAAGAUAGGCCCUUUCGGCGGCUGCGGUGGCAACGAGAAAGACAUGGACGUGCGCGGCGUUUGCCAUAUCGUUAAGCUGGUUGUGUGGCACCGUAGCGAUGUGUUGGACGCCAUGUCGGUGUCGUACGACCGGGACGGCCGGGAGGAGGAGACCGAGCAGUGGGGUUCCCCUGCAGGAGAACCCUCAGAGAUUUGUUUGGAGGCGGACGAGUACCUCACCGGCGUGGAAGGGCACGUAGACUAUUCCGGUCACGGGCUCAUUGUGAAAUCACUCACUUUUAUCGGCAACCGGCGCACUUUUGGACCUUAUGGGGAGAAGCAGGGUGCUGCCUUCGAGCUCCUUGCAGCGGGCGGAAAGAUAAUCGGCUUCCAUGGGCGUUCAAAUUCAUAUGUUAACGCGCUUGGCACCUACGUCAAG
rnacentral:rRNA from 1 species